rnacentral:lncRNA from 1 species
GUCCUCACCAGUUUCUUCAACGCUAAAGAUUCUUGAAAUCCUGGAGCAGUGCUUUUUAUUGUUAUAGAUGACAGAACAGACUCAGUCAUAAUCUACAAUGAUAGCAUUGGCAGCAUUAUUCAACAUUUAUCUCAGAUAAAUGACUUGGCCUCUGCAUCUUCAUAUGCAGAACAAACUCCAAUGAAAAACCAGUCAUUUGUUUAUUACCUGUGAAUUACUUCUACUAAACACCUGCCCAAAAUUCUACAGGCACUAUGCCAAGCUGGGCGUGUAUACAGGAUGGAGAGUUACUUUGGCAUGGUAUUCCCAGAGAUGGACACACAAGCAAAGUCUUUUUAACAAUGGAAAGAUCCACAGGUGCUUUUUGUUUUUUGUUUUGUUUUUACCUAAUGCUAAACUUUUAUCAAAGAAUUUUUCUUUCCAGCUUGAUAUUUCAAAUAAAUGUUAACCAUACAGUGUCUUCCCUCUCCCUUCAGGAUAUACAAACCACAGAAAUUCAAUGACUCAUCCCAAAAUGGUUUAUGAAUAUGCCAGGGGCGGAAGGGCAUGGUGUUUACUUCUUUAAGACUUCCUGCGAAACUGGAAAAAAAAAAGAGAGAAUACAGCAUUUGAAGAUAUUUGUAACUAACUAAAGAGCACGGGCCUGCCAUUGCAUGAAUGUGGAGAGUAGAGGCCAACUUGAAGUCAUCUGUAUGAUGAGACCUUGUGAGUCAAAGAGACAAAAUUCUCAUCAUAGUCCUAAGACAAUGGGGAGCCGGGCAUGUCUUCAAAAAGAUGGAAGGAGCUCACAGUGGAAGAGCAAAGAGGGCUAAAACACACCAAGGCCUAAGGAGGCAGCUCAGAUGAAGUUCUGCCCCUUGAACUCACUAUUUCAGCAAUUUCUGACAACCCACGGUGCAGUAUUUUGUUCUGAUAGUCAUCUGUCUUUAAUUUUGCCACUGUCACUGGCUUCUCUGCUCUCCUGCCUGCCCAAGCCCUGAUGUUUGCUGGCUUCCCAAACAUUUGUGACCUCAUCACCAGUGCCUCAUCCUUUAUGUCAACAUGGAAGGAUGGACAUUGCUAGAGGCAUACCUUCUGUGAAUCUACUUGAGGACAGACCUCUCCCCAUCCCCCGUCAAGAGAAUCCCUGCCAGAAAGAGAAUACCACAACUACCAACUACCAACCCACUUCCCCUACUCUUCGCAUCCCAGCAGUAAGAAAAGC